UUAUAUGAGAGUUUGAUCCUGGCUCAGGACGAACGCUGGCGGCAUGCCUAAUACAUGCAAGUCGAACGCACGAAGUUGAAAAGCUUGCUUUUC
rnacentral:rRNA from 1 species